CCUGGGAACCAUAGGGCCCAGGUGGGUGAAAAGCUGAAACACAAAUUCUAGAUCCCCAAGAAGCCAAUGGGUCAAGGCUGGCCUGUUGGCCUCAAAUCUCUCCUCAACUAGAAUAGCCAGCAAUCUUCAGCUACCAUUGUAUGCUAAGAUAUAGUCAGUGUCCUUUUCAGUGUUAAAUUUCUGUAAUUGCCAACCCCUCCCCCUUGGUAGGCAUUUUAAAGGCCUGCAUGUUGGUAUGAGAUCAUUCAUCUUUUGGCUGCUCAGAGAGAAAGAUAGACUGGAGAGUUCAAAACCCUAACAGAUUAUCUUGUUUAGGAAUUUCUAGUGUCCUGUUCCCAGAUGAAAAGGAGCCUAAGGUGUGAAGAAUCAUGCUCUUACCUGUUCAAUCAUCAUACUACACAGACUCUGGAAAUGCCUUGUGGGCAAACUGUUCUCUUACACAAUACCAUCGAUGCUACACCAUUAAACAGACUUGCAUAUUAAAACGUGAAGCAUGUGAGCCUCUUGAGAAUCAACAGAAAACCAAGAGUCAAUAUAUGUCUUAUCAGAUCCAAAGAAGUAACUUGACUAAGAUGCUGUGGAAUGAACAUGAGUUCUUCAUAUGUGGAGUUGGAGGAGAGGUUAUUCCUGUUUCCUAUGGAAUUAGCACUGGGAAAAGUCUCCUUCCCCUGCCAUUUCCCUUUGAGUCCCCCUCCAUCCUCCCUCUUCUCUCCUUCCUCUCUCCUUCUUCUCUGCCCUCUCUUUCUUUUUUAUCUCCCGCCUUCCUUCUCUCCUUCCCUCUCUUUUAAUCAAGUGUUCAGCUGUCUGCUGCAUAAGAAGGGAGGUCUGUAGGCACAAUUAUUGUCUAAAUGCAGUAAAGGAAAACAAAGGAGUCACUCUUCUGUUAUUGUAACAAAUAGCUGAGAUAUAGCAACUUAAAAAGAGGAAAACAGGGCCCCCAAUGGAGGAGCUAGAGAAAGUAACCAAGGAGAUAAAGGGGUCUGCAACCCUAUAGGUAGAACAACAAUAUGAACUAACCAGUACCCCCUGGAGCUCUAUGACUCUAGCUG
rnacentral:lncRNA from 1 species